rnacentral:lncRNA from 1 species
GGGGUUGCGCCUGGACCCGCAUAAUUCCGUAAUCAUUUUUCAGACACUGCUGUCGACGUCCAGCGUGUAUGACCAGGUUGUUAAAGACUGGGCGAUUUUUGUUCAUACAAACUGGAUUUCUGCGAGGUUCAAUUUAACCCCGUGCGGCUCGUCACGUUUCUUUUACCGAAAAAAAGUACCUUUCUGGAGAGCCUGCCGUCAGCUGGGUACUGCUCUCUAUUUCGAGACCGAAAAGGUCAAGUGGGUGGCUCAGCAAUGUGUGACACUACAAAAACUGUCUCCUAAUGAAACACCCAGAAAGAGCUUCACAGGUACCAGAACUUGAAGGAAGAGGAGGGGUUGCUUCUGUCACCGUUCUUCCCUACAUUCUUCGUAUAUAGCUCCCACCACUGGCCUCUGUUCUGGGGGAGGAAGGCUUGUCAUGUGGACUGAGAGCUGCUGAAUGACAUGGUGGUAUCUAUUUAUGUGCUUGUGGGAUGGAGAGCAGAGCUGAGCAGGCAGUGCACACACCUCGCCGGGGCACAUAGCAACAUUAGAAAAAUUUGAAUUCUUAUGCAGAAGAGAAUUCCACCUAGAAUGUGUCUUACCUACAUAAAGCCUCCUGAAGUAUCAUAGCUACUACAAGGUUAGUGAAGCUCUGUAUUAUUUCUUGUAAAACACUUGAUGUGAAACACUGUGCUGUAUCUUUUCCAGGUAUUCUCAUUGUUGUUAUUAUAAACAGCAAACAAUGUAUGUUUGCUAACAUUAUUACUAUGAUUUUUUUUGUAGGAAUUAGACCUCACUAGAAAUCAGAAGCAGGAUUGGUUUUGUGUACUGAUAAAUUAUUAAACGCAGUAAUACAUAGCAAGAUUACAUGCCAACCCACAGAAAUCCUUCAGAGUUGUUAUUUUUAACCUGUGUCAAUGAACAGUUUAUUCUGAACCAUUUCAAAUGUGUAUGCAUAUGCAUUAUAUACAUGUAUAUUAUAUAUAUAUAGGUAGUGACAAAGCAAGUAGUUUAAUACAUUUUAUGGCUCCAGCCUGGAGUUCUGCAUACAGGAACCUGUGUGUGGUCAAGGAGGCUUGCAUACUUUUGAACUCUAAGUUGGCCUAAUAAAAGAUAUCAUACUACAGUGCUUGCUUUGUCA